UAGCUCAGUGGUAGAGUGCAUGCCUCUCAUGCAUGAGGCCCUGGGUUCAAUCCUAG
rnacentral:tRNA from 1 species